CUUGUGACUUAGUGGCGGACGGGUGAGUAACGCGUGGGUAACCUGCCUCACACAGGGGGAUAACAGUUGGAAACGACCGCUAAUACCGCAUAACCCGCUAGGGCCGCAUGGCCCGGACGGAAAAGAUUUAUCGGUGUGAGAUGGACCCGCGUUGGAUUAGCUAGUUGGCAGGGUAACGGCCUACCAAGGCGACGAUCCAUAGCCGGCCUGAGAGGGUGAACGGCCACAUUGGGACUGAGACACGGCCCAA
rnacentral:rRNA from 1 species